rnacentral:rRNA from 1 species
UGAGUAACACGUAUCCAACCUGUCGUCUACUCUUGGACAGCCUUCUGAAAGGAAGAUUAAUACAAGAUGGCAUCAUGAGUUCACAUGUUCACAUGAUUAAAGGUAUUCCGGUAGACGAUGGGGAUGCGUUCCAUUAGAUAGUAGGCGGGGUAACGGCCCACCUAGUCUUCGAUGGAUAGGGGUUCUGAGAGGAAGGUCCCCCACAUUGGAACUGAGACACGGUCCAA